rnacentral:ribozyme from 14 species
AGGUCACGUGACUUUCUUUCUCCUUUCCUUCACUUUUCAGUUAUUCUUUCAUCUUUCUUCCUUCAUUCCUUCCUAAUGUUUGAAAUUUACCACUGAAAGCAAACUCAGCUGUUUAUGCAAAACAAAAUCACAGCCAUUGA